UACGUAGGUCGCAAGCGUUGUCCGGAUUUACUGGGCGUAAAGCGCACGUAGGCGGAUUGUUAAGUCGGGGGUGAAAUCCUGGAGCUCAACUCCAGAAUUGCCUUCGAUACUGGCUUUCUAGAGGCUGGAAGAGGUUAGUGGAAUUCCCAGUGUAGAGGUGAAAUUCGUAGAUAUUGGGAAGAACACCAGUGGCGAAGGCGGCUAACUGGUCCAGAUCUGACGCUGAGGUGCGAAAGCGUGGGGAGCAAACAGG
rnacentral:rRNA from 1 species